GAUGAACGCUGGCGGCGUGCCUAAUACAUGCAAGUCGAGCGAACAGACGAGGAGCUUGCUCCUCUGACGUUAGCGGCGGACGGGUGAGUAACACGUGGAUAACCUACCUAUAAGACUGGGAUAACUUCGGGAAACCGGAGCUAAUACCGGAUAAUAUGUUGAAUCGCAUGGUUCAACAGUGAAAGACGGUCUUGCUGUCACUUAUAGAUGGAUCCGCGCCGCAUUAGCUAGUUGGUAAGGUAACGGCUUACCAAGGCAACGAUGCGUAGCCGACCUGAGAGGGUGAUCGGCCACACUGGAACUGAGGCACGGUCCAGACUCCUACGGGAGGCAGCAGUAGGGAAUCUUCCGCAAUGGGCGAAAGCCUGACGGAGCAACGCCGCGUGAGUGAAGAAGGUCUUCGGAUCGUAAAACUCUGUUAUUAGGGAAGAACAAAUGUGUAAGUAACUAUGCACGUCUUGACGGUACCUAAUCAGAAAGCCACGGCUAACUACGUG
rnacentral:rRNA from 1 species